AUAAAGAUUGGCUGCCCCUUGUGGUAGGUCAGUCCCUUUCUCUGAACUAUAUAAUAUACUCAAUUUAAUUUAACUAGACUAGUUGAAAUUGUUGAAGUUCGCUAACCAUAAUGUACAAAAAUCCUUCAUGUUCCGGGAAAAUAAAUCAUAAUUAACGAUAGGUAUAGUAGCAGCAAAGAUAAGAUGGUGAUCCAUUCUCACAUGCAAUGA